rnacentral:lncRNA from 1 species
AGGUGAAAAUGUUUUAUUUAGCUCAAACGUUACAACCGAAUCCACCUUGUAUGUUAGACACUGAAGAAAAUCAUGGGCAACAGUAAUACAAAAACAUUUCAGUUUUGAUGCCACAGACAAGGCACAAAAACCACUGGUCAGGGGACUCUCAUGAAGCUGCUUUCUGACCCUUCUUUGUCCUGUGGCUCCUCCUAUUCCCUUUUCGUUUAGUCCCACAAGGAAAAUUCUCAUUGGAUAGUGUCUAAUACCUUUGAUAAUGGAGUAGCUUUUCUCAAAGCCAAGAUGAGAGGCAAGCUAUUUGUGUCUCAUUCAGCACAGCCUCCCCCCACCCCCCGAAGAAGUGGGCCAGACCACAUUGACCUGUGUCCAGCCCCACUGAGAGAUCUCAACAAAACUUUUAACUAAACUGCUAUUUUGGCUCCCUCUAUAUAUGGCCCCCCUGAGAACCAUCCUCUGAGUUCUACCUAAAAUCCCCUUAUGCAGGGAAGAUGCCAGAUGGUUCGCUCCAGGCAGGUCACCUCCAAGCCCUGGAAUUCCAAGUCUACAUGCAAGUCUAAUUUGGCUCAGAAAUUCCUCUUCAGGAAAGAUUUUAAAAUCUUUCUUUUUUCUUUUUAAGGCCACACCCGUGGCAUAUGGAAGUUUCCAGGCUCGGUUUUAUAUCCUGCUUGAUGGGACCAUCAUAUCCACCCUCUUACCAAAGGGCUUAUUGUGAGGAUCAGAUGAGAUAAUGCAUGUUUAAGUAGUCUGUAAAUAGUAAGAUGCCAUAAAAUGACACACGUUGUUCUUAUCACCCUCAGGCAGUGAUAAAGCUCAGGGUUCUUCUACUUAAAGCAGCUCAACACUAUCCUUCCUCCACUCUGGUGUUAAAAGCUCCUUAACUUUGAGCUUCAUUGAUCAGCUUCCCAGGUGAGGAGGAGGAAGGAUUCUGGCAGGAAAACACUAGGCACUUUUCUCUUUAAGUACCUCGGCCCCUAUUUUAGCAGAUUUGAAUCUCUAAAUCUUAUAAAUCAAUUUCAAGUUACUGUAAGAUUCUGGCAGCAUUUACAUCGGAUGUUGGAAGGACCUGUAACAUAGAUUUUACUAUUCCUGCCCAUCCCACUUUGGGUCUUGAGAUGGAAGUAAUUGUUGACUUCCCAGGCUGAUAAUUUGAAUGCUUCAAAAAAAAAAAAAAAAAAAACAAUUUAUUUUUGCCAUUUCCCCAAUGGGCUCUUUUCUUUCUAUUCUUGAAAUAAGUUUUGCUCAGAAUGACAUCAAGGGAAUGAGACAAUUACCUGUAAUUCUUGUUGUCAGAUCUGAGAUUGUCACAACAGAUCUCUAUUCUAGGACCGGAAACAUCUGGAAGCCUCCUGAGGAGUGCUCCUUGCAUUCUUUUCUGCCUCGCAGUCUUCUUACUCCUGGACCCUGGUGAGACAGUCCCCACUGUCACAGCCACACUGCAGGGGGCUUCACCAUUGCCAGCCCCA